GAUGAACGCUGGCGGCGUGCCUAAUACAUGCAAGUCGAGCGAACAGACGAGGAGCUUGCUCCUCUGACGUUAGCGGCGGACGGGUGAGUAACACGUGGAUAACCUACCUAUAAGACUGGGAUAACUUCGGGAAACCGGAGCUAAUACCGGAUAAUAUAUUGAACCGCAUGGUUCAAUAGUUAAAUACGGUUUUGCUGUCACUUAUAGAUGGAUCCGCGCCGCAUUAGCUAGUUGGUAAGGUAACGGCUUACCAAGGCAACGAUGCGUAGCCGACCUGAGAGGGUGAUCGGCCACACUGGAACUGAGACACGGUCCAGACUCCUACGGGAGGCAGCAGUAGGGAAUCUUCCGCAAUGGGCGAAAGCCUGACGGAGCAACGCCGCGUGAGUGAUGAAGGUCUUCGGAUCGUAAAACUCUGUUAUUAGGGAAGAACAAAUGUGUAAGUAACUAUGCACGUCUUGACGGUACCUAAUCAGAAAGCCACGGCUAACUACGUG
rnacentral:rRNA from 1 species